rnacentral:rRNA from 1 species
AUUAGUAGUUAAGGUCUUGAAAAUUAAAGAAUUUGGCGGUGUUUUAAUCUGUUCAGAGGAACCUGUCGUGUAAUUGAUAUUCCACGAUUAAUUAUACUUUUUUUAUUAGUUUGUAUAUCGUCGUUAUUGAAUAUUCUUCAAGGAUUUAAUAUUCAAGAUUCUUUUCAUGAAUAAAAUCAGAUCAAGAUGCAGUUUAUAAAAAAGUAUUGAUGGGUUACAAUAAUUAUAUUUAAAUGGAUUGGGAUUUGAAAAAUUUCAUGAAGGUGGAUUUGAUAGUAAUUAAUUUAAUUUAAUUUUAAUGAUUAAGCUCUAAAACAUGU